rnacentral:rRNA from 1 species
GACGAACGCUGGCGGCGUGCUUAACACAUGCAAGUCGAACGGAAAGGCCCUGCUUUUGUGGGGUGCUCGAGUGGCGAACGGGUGAGUAACACGUGAGUAACCUGCCCUUGACUUUGGGAUAACUACAGGAAACUGGGGCUAAUACCGGAUAGGAGCUCCUGCUGCUUGGUGGGGGUUGGAACGUUUCGGCGGUUGGGGAUGGACUCGCGGCUUAUCAGCUUGUUGGUGGGGUAGUGGCUUACCAAGGCUUUGACGGGUAGCCGGCCUGAGAGGGUGACCGGCCACAUUGGGACUGAGAUACGGCCCAGACUCCUACGGGAGGCAGCAGUGGGGAAUAUUGCACAAUGGGCGGAAGCCUGAUGCAGCAACGCCGCGUGCGGGAUGACGGCCUUCGGGUUGUAAACCGCUUUCGCCUGUGACGAAGCGUGAGUGACGGUAAUGGGUAAAGAAGCACCGGCUAACUACGUG